rnacentral:lncRNA from 1 species
CCAAACUAGUAAGAGACAAUGUUUUACAUGAGGCAAGCAAACAAUUUGGCAAGUGUUACAUUUGCAUCUUCUCUUUAGAUGUGCAAGAAAGUAAGCAAGUUUUUGCAUUUUCUUGACUUGUGCAAGCUAGCUAAUUUCUCUUUGAGAUGACCCUUUACAUCAAUUCAAGAUAGCACAUUAGCAACUCUUUCUCCCCCUUUGUCAUUGGCAAAAAGAAA